UUCGGUCGUAUUGGGGUGUAAAUUGUAACCAGACCUGUAGCACUGAAUGUAUAAGUCAAACUUGUCAUCAUGAAUCAGGAGUCUGUUUGACGUCAUUUCAGAAGAUGCCUGACACGCAUGCCCUCGAUCACACAACUAUCAUAAUAUGUGUUGUAGUCUCGCUUUCCAUUGUAUUCAUCGGAAGUGUCUUAAACUUUCUCAUCUGGAGGCGGAAUCGGAAUAAAGCUAUGGAAACCAGCAAAUUCGGACCAAAAAUUAAUUUAAACGAACUGUCAUCUUCACAACUUGCAGGUAAAA